CCCUUAGAUGUUCUGGGCUGCACGCGCGCUACACUGAAGCUAUCAACACGUUUUCCCUCCCUGAGAAGGGCGGGUAACCUUUUGAAUCAGCUUCGUGGUAGGGAUCUGGGCUUGCAAUUGUUCCCCGUGAACCAGGAAUUCCUAGUAGACGCGAGUCAUAAGCUCGCAUCGAUUAAGUCCCUGCCCUUUGUACACACCGCCCGUCGCUACUACCGAUUGAACGUUUUAGUGAGGCAUUUGGACCGACGCAUCUCAGUUUAACCGCUGGUUUGUGUUGGAAAGACUUCCAAACUUGAGCGUUUAGAGGAAGUAAAAGUCGUAACA
rnacentral:rRNA from 1 species